CCCUUAGAUGUUCGGGGCCGCACGCGCGCUACUCUGACGGAGGCAGCGAGCAUGUCCUUCGCCGAGAGGUGUGGGGAAUCUUGUGAGUCUCCGUCGUGCUGGGGAUAGAUGGUUGCAAUUGUCGAUCUUGAACGAGGAAUUCCUAGUAAGCGCGAGUCAUCAGCUCGCGCUGAUUACGUCCCUGCCCUUUGUACACACCGCCCGUCGCUACUACCGAUUGGAUGGCUUAGCGAGAAUUUUGGAUCGGAGCCCGGGUGGUCGGCAACGGUCGCCCGGGAGAUCUGAGAAAUCAUUCCAGCUUGAUCAUCUAGAGGAAGUAAAAGUCGUAACA
rnacentral:rRNA from 1 species